CCUACGGGAGGCAGCAGUGGGGAAUAUUGCACAAUGGGGGAAACCCUGAUGCAGCGACGCCGCGUGAGUGAAGAAGUAAUUCGUUAUGUAAAGCUCUAUCAGCAGGGAAGAAAAUGACGGUACUUGAGUAAGAAGCCCCGGCUAACUACGUGCCAGCAGCCGCGGUAAUACGUAGGGGGCAAGCGUUAUCCGGAUUUACUGGGUGUAAAGGGAGCGUAGACGGCAGUGCAAGUCUGGAGUGAAAGGCGGGGGCUCAACCCCCGGACUGCUCUGGAAACUGUACGGCUGGAGUGCAGGAGAGGUAAGUGGAAUUCCUAGUGUAGCGGUGAAAUGCGUAGAUAUUAGGAGGAACACCAGUGGCGAAGGCGGCUUACUGGACUGAAACUGACGUUGAGGCUCGAAAGCGUGGGGAGCGAACAGGAUUAGAUACCCGUGUAGUC
rnacentral:rRNA from 1 species